rnacentral:rRNA from 1 species
UAAGAAGGGUGCAAGAGUUAAUCGGAAUUACUGGGCGUAAAGCGCGCGUAGGUGGUUCAGCAAGUUGGAUGUGAAAUCCCCGGGCUCAACCUGGGAACUGCAUCCAAAACUACUGAGCUAGAGUACGGUAGAGGGUGGUGGAAUUUCCUGUGUAGCGGUGAAAUGCGUAGAUAUAGGAAGGAACACCAGUGGCGAAGGCGACCACAUGGACUGAUACGGACACGGAGGUGAGAAAGCGGGGGGAGCACACAGGCUGCGAUAACACCGUAGUCC